GGGUUGUGAGGUUAAGCGACUAAGCGUACACGGUGGAUGCCCUGGCAGUCAGAGGCGAUGAAGGGCGUGCUAAUCUGCGAUAAGCGCCGGUAAGGUGAUAUGAACCGUUAUAACCGGCGAUACCCGAAUGGGGAAACCCAGUGUGACUCGUCACACUAUCAUUAACUGAAUCCAUAGGUUAAUGAGGCGAACCGGGGGAACUGAAACAUCUAAGUACCCCGAGGAAAAGAAAUCAACCGAGAUUCCCCCAGUAGCGGCGAGCGAACGGGGAGGAGCCCAGAGCCUGAAUCAGCAUGUGUGUUAGUGGAAGCGUCUGGAAAGGCGCGCGAUACAGGGUGACAGCCCCGUACACAAAAGCGCAUGUGCUGUGAGCUCGAUGAGUAGGGCGGGACACGUGGUAUCCUGUCUGAAUAUGGGGGGACCAUCCUCCAAGGCUAAAUACUCCUGACUGACCGAUAGUGAACCAGUACCGUGAGGGAAAGGCGAAAAGAACCCCGGCGAGGGGAGUGAAAAAGAACCUGAAACCGUGUACGUACAAGCAGUGGGAGCACCCUUUGGGGUGUGACUGCGUACCUUUUGUAUAAUGGGUCAGCGACUUAUAUUCUGUAGCAAGGUUAACCGCAUAGGGGAGCCGGAGGGAAACCGAGUCUUAACCGGGCGUUAAGUUGCAGGGUAUAGACCCGAAACCCGGUGAUCUAGCCAUGGGCAGGUUGAAGGUUGGGUAACACUAACUGGAGGACCGAACCGACUAAUGUUGAAAAAUUAGCGGAUGACCUGUGGCUGGGGGUGAAAGGCCAAUCAAACCGGGAGAUAGCUGGUUCUCCCCGAAAGCUAUUUAGGUAGCGCCUCGUGAAUUCAUCUCCGGGGGUAGAGCACUGUUUCGGCUAGGGGGCCAUCCCGGCUUACCAACCCGAUGCAAACUGCGAAUACCGGAGAAUGUUAUCACGGGAGACACACGGCGGGUGCUAACGUCCGUCGUGAAGAGGGAAACAACCCAGACCGCCAGCUAAGGUCCCAAAGUCAUGGUUAAGUGGGAAACGAUGUGGGAAGGCCCAGACAGCCAGGAUGUUGGCUUAGAAGCAGCCAUCAUUUAAAGAAAGCGUAAUAGCUCACUGGUCGAGUCGGCCUGCGCGGAAGAUGUAACGGGGCUAAACCAUGCACCGAAGCUGCGGCAGCGACGCUGAUGCGUUGUUGGGUAGGGGAGCGUUCUGUAAGCCUGUGAAGGUGGCCUGUGAGGGUUGCUGGAGGUAUCAGAAGUGCGAAUGCUGACAUAAGUAACGAUAAAGCGGGUGAAAAGCCCGCUCGCCGGAAGACCAAGGGUUCCUGUCCAACGUUAAUCGGGGCAGGGUGAGUCGACCCCUAAGGCGAGGCCGAAAGGCGUAGUCGAUGGGAAACAGGUUAAUAUUCCUGUACUUGGUGUUACUGCGAAGGGGGGACGGAGAAGGCUAUGUUGGCCGGGCGACGGUUGUCCCGGUUUAAGCGUGUAGGCUGGUUUUCCAGGCAAAUCCGGAAAAUCAAGGCUGAGGCGUGAUGACGAGGCACUACGGUGCUGAAGCAACAAAUGCCCUGCUUCCAGGAAAAGCCUCUAAGCAUCAGGUAACAUCAAAUCGUACCCCAAACCGACACAGGUGGUCAGGUAGAGAAUACCAAGGCGCUUGAGAGAACUCGGGUGAAGGAACUAGGCAAAAUGGUGCCGUAACUUCGGGAGAAGGCACGCUGACACGUAGGUGAAGUGAUUUACUCAUGGAGCUGAAGUCAGUCGAAGAUACCAGCUGGCUGCAACUGUUUAUUAAAAACACAGCACUGUGCAAACACGAAAGUGGACGUAUACGGUGUGACGCCUGCCCGGUGCCGGAAGGUUAAUUGAUGGGGUCAGCGCAAGCGAAGCUCCUGAUCGAAGCCCCGGUAAACGGCGGCCGUAACUAUAACGGUCCUAAGGUAGCGAAAUUCCUUGUCGGGUAAGUUCCGACCUGCACGAAUGGCGUAAUGAUGGCCAGGCUGUCUCCACCCGAGACUCAGUGAAAUUGAACUCGCUGUGAAGAUGCAGUGUACCCGCGGCAAGACGGAAAGACCCCGUGAACCUUUACUAUAGCUUGACACUGAACAUUGAGCCUUGAUGUGUAGGAUAGGUGGGAGGCUUUGAAGUGUGGACGCCAGUCUGCAUGGAGCCGACCUUGAAAUACCACCCUUUAAUGUUUGAUGUUCUAACGUGGACCCGUAAUCCGGGUUGCGGACAGUGUCUGGUGGGUAGUUUGACUGGGGCGGUCUCCUCCUAAAGAGUAACGGAGGAGCACGAAGGUUGGCUAAUCCUGGUCGGACAUCAGGAGGUUAGUGCAAUGGCAUAAGCCAGCUUGACUGCGAGCGUGACGGCGCGAGCAGGUGCGAAAGCAGGUCAUAGUGAUCCGGUGGUUCUGAAUGGAAGGGCCAUCGCUCAACGGAUAAAAGGUACUCCGGGGAUAACAGGCUGAUACCGCCCAAGAGUUCAUAUCGACGGCGGUGUUUGGCACCUCGAUGUCGGCUCAUCACAUCCUGGGGCUGAAGUAGGUCCCAAGGGUAUGGCUGUUCGCCAUUUAAAGUGGUACGCGAGCUGGGUUUAGAACGUCGUGAGACAGUUCGGUCCCUAUCUGCCGUGGGCGCUGGAGAACUGAGGGGGGCUGCUCCUAGUACGAGAGGACCGGAGUGGACGCAUCACUGGUGUUCGGGUUGUCAUGCCAAUGGCACUGCCCGGUAGCUAAAUGCGGAAGAGAUAAGUGCUGAAAGCAUCUAAGCACGAAACUUGCCCCGAGAUGAGUUCUCCCUGAGACUUAGAGUCUCCUGAAGGAACGUUGAAGACGACGACGUUGAUAGGCCGGGUGUGUAAGCGCAGCGAUGCGUUGAGCUAACCGGUACUAAUGAACCGUGAGGCUUAACCUUACAACGCCGAAG
rnacentral:rRNA from 1 species